GGACUACCCGGGUAUCUAAUCCCGUUUGCUCCCCUGGCUUUCGCGCCUCAGCGUCAGCAGAGGUCCAGCGGAUCGCUUUCGCCACCGGCGUUCCUUCCGAUAUCUACGCAUUUCACCGCUCCACCGGAAGUUCCAUCCGCCCCUACCUCCCUCCAGCCCGCCAGUAUCAGGGGCACUUUUCCGGUUGAGCCGAAAGAUUUCACCCCUGACUCGGCGAGCCGCCUACGCGCCCUUUAAGCCCAGUGAAUCCGAACAACGUUCGCACGGUUCGUCUUACCGCGGCUGCUGGCAC
rnacentral:rRNA from 1 species